rnacentral:rRNA from 1 species
AACGAACGCUGGCGGCAUGCCUAACACAUGCAAGUCGAACGAGACCUUCGGGUCUAGUGGCGCACGGGUUCGUAACGCGUGGGAACCUGCCCUUAGGUUCGGAAUAACUCCCCGAAAGGGGUGCUAAUACCUGAUAAUGGCUUCGGACCAAAGAUUUAUCGCCUUUGGAUGGUCCCGCGUUGGAUUAGCUAGUUGGUAGGGUAAAAGCCUACCAAGGCGACGAUCCAUAGAUGGUCUGAGAGGAUGAUCAGCCACACUGGGAGUGAGACACGGCCCAGAAUCCUACGGGAGGCAGCAGUGGGGAAUAUUGGAAAAUGGGCGAAAGGAUGAUCCAGCAAUGCCGCGUGAGUGAUGAAGGCCUUAGGGUUGUAAAGCUCUUUUACCCGGGAUGAUAAUGACAGUACCGGGAGAAAAAGCUCCGGCUAACUCCGUG